UCNCUGUGCUCAGAAAGAUUUAGCCUCUGG
rnacentral:piRNA from 1 species